GAAAACCCAUCCAACCAACUCCCCUUUCCAUAAUCAUCCCCCUUUCCAAAACCCUUUGUAAAAUAUUUCCUUAUGAAUACUUUAGUAGUUCCUCCUCUAAGCUUGUAAAGUAAAUAAGGCCUUAUGCUUAUGUGUGAUCGUUUUUAAUUCCCAAUGCUCAGUAGACUUUUUCGGGUUUCCCGAAAGGGAAAUAUCUCUCCUAUAAGCAUGGUAUUAGCUGCGACAACACAUGUCAGCUGGUGGGUCAGUACUGUUCGUCCUUUGCCCGCUAAAACCGCGGCGGAGCACCACGCUAGUACCAGCAGUCCAGCCUACUCUUUUGUGUGUGAAAGCACCUGAAAUACCAUGGGUUCUCUCUUAGCUCUUUCUGUUUUGCCUUUGUUGCCUUGUCUACCUAAUACCAAAACAUCUUCCUUCUUUUUUUCUUUUUUCGAAUUAUGAAGAAUCAGCCAUCAAUUUUCUUACUGUUAUGUUGUUAUUUGUGGGGCUAAAAAAGAUUUGGACCUGAAGUUCAUUCUGAAUUUUGCGUU